AGCAUAUCUUGAGGGCACUAUGGUGUUGAACGCUGAGCUGUAGUCAAUGAAUAGCAUUCUCACAUAAGUGUUCCUUUUGUCCAGGUGGGAAAGGGCAGUGUGGAGUGCAAUAGAGAUUGCAUCAUCUGUGGAUCUGUUUGGGCGGUAUGCAAAUUGGAGUGGGUCUAGGGUUUCUGGGAUAAUGGUGUUGAUGUGAGCCAUUACCAACCUUUCAAAGCACUUCAUGGCUACGGACGUGAGUUCUACGGGUCUGUAGUCAUUUAGGCAGGUUGCAGCUCCUUCGCAUAGAGUUGAUCAGGCUGUUGAUUGUGGCCUGUGGAAUGUUGUUCCACUCCUCUUCAAAGGCUGUGCGAAGUUGCUGGAUAUUUGUGGGAACUGAAACACGCUGUCAUACACGUCGAUCUAGAGAAUCCCAAACAUGUUCAAUGGGUGACAUGUCUGGUGAGUAUGCAGGCUAUGGAAGAAAUGGGACAUUUUCAGCUUCCAGGAAUUGUGUACAGAUCUUUUCGACAUGGGGCCAUGCAUUAUCAUGCUGAAAUAUGACGUGUUGGCGGUGGAUGAAUGGCACAACAAUGGGCCUCAGGAUCUCAUUACGGUAUCUCUGUGCAUUCAAAUUUCCAUCAAUAGAAUUGUGUUCGUUGUCCGUAGCUUUUGCCUGCCCCUACCAUAACCCCACCCCCACUAUGGGGCACUCUGUUCCCAGCGUUGACAUCAGCAAACCGCUCGCCCACACACCAUACCUGCUGUCUGCCAUCUGCCCGGUACAGUUGAAACUGGGAUUCAUCCACGAAGAGCACAGUUCUCCAGCAUGCCAGUUGCCAUCGAAGGUGAGCAUUUUCCCAUUGAAGUCGUUUCUGAUGCCGAACUGUAGUCAGGUCAAAACCCUGGGGAGGAUGAUGGGCACACAGAUGAGCUUCCCUGAGACGGUUUCUGACAGUUUGUGCAGAAGUUCUUCGGUUGUGCAAACCCACAGUUUCAUCAGCUGUCCGGGUCGCUGGUCUCAAACGAUCCCACAGGUGAAGAAGAUGGAUGUAGAGGUCCUGGGUUGGCAUGGUCUGCGGUUGUGAGGCUGGUUGGACGUACAGCCAAAUUCUCUAAAACGACGUUGGAGGUGUUUUAUGGUAGAGAAAUUAACAUUAAAUUAUCUGGCAACAGCUUUGGUGGACAUUCCUGCAAUCGGCAUGGCAAUUGCAUGCCUCAACACUUGAGACAUCUGUGGCAUUGUGUUGUGUGACAAAACUGUAUAUUUUAGAGUGGCCUUUUAUUGUUCCCAGCACAAGGUGCACCUGUGUAAUGAUCAUGCUGUUUAAUCAGCUUCUUGAUAUGCCACCCCUUUCAGGUGGAUGGAUUAUAUUGGCAAAGAAGAAAUGCUCACUAACAGGAAUGUAAACAAAUUUGUGCAACAAAUGGUGGACUCCCCCAAAUGGUGGACUCCCCCGAGUCUGGCUUUGACGCCAUCAUGCAUGCAGCUGUCUGCCAGGGUGUGAUUGGUUGGAACAAUGUCACCCGGAUCGGGGUUUACACGUCAGAUGUCACCUUCCACAUUGCCGGGGACGGCAGGCUGGCUGGGAUAUUCAAACCUAAUGAUGGGAAGUGUCAUCUCAAUGGCAGCGGCUUCUACGAUGGCACUAAAUAUGACUACCCAUCGGUUGGCCAGCUCGCCAGGGUCCUGGCAGCCAAUAACAUCCAGCUCAUCUUUGCUGUCACCGAGGACAGUGUUGCUGCCUACAAGGCAUUGAGUAAACUAAUCCCUCAGUCAGUGCUGGGAGUCCUGAAGAACGACUCCAGCAACGUGGUCCAGCUCAUCUUAGAGGCCUACAAUAACCUGUCCUCCACUAUCUUAUUGGAGCACCAUGGAGCCCCCUCGGGUCUGGACAUGACCUACAGAUCCCACUGCACCCCUGCAGAAGGGGACAACACCCUGUGGCAGAGGGGCGCGUGCAUGAACGUCAAGCUCAACAAGCAGGUUGACUUCACAGUGAGUCUGAAUAUUUCAACGUCUGAAGGAGAAUGUCUGAAGGAGAAGAAGCAGUUUUUCCUCAAACUUCAGGGCAUCAGCGAGACCCUGAAGGUCUCCGUGGAAACCCUGUGUGACUGUGACUGCCAUGACAGAGAACAGCAGUCCACACACUGCAGUGAAAAGGGAACGCUCAACUGCGGAAUCUACAGCUGUGACGAGUAUCACCUGGGUCAGAGGUGUGAGUGUAAACGGCCUCUAUGGACGCAACAUGUCCCCAAGACAGCUCCUCGCUGCAAUGCAGCGGGCACGGGACCUGUGAGUGUGGCAUAUGUGUGUGCCAGGGCACCCACCGUGGUGAUUUCUGCCAAUGUGAUGACAACAGCUGUGACCGCCACAACAACAUGCUCUGCGGUGGCUCUGCGUGUGACUGUUACCACCCUCACCGACCAGUGCAGGACUGCUGGGAAGCUGUGCAAUGGCCAGGGAACAUGCCAGUGUAACCAGUGCCAGUGCAACAAAGACUGCUUUGGCAUGAACUGCUCAAAGAUUGCUAAUGCAUGCGCAAAAUUCCUGGCCUGUGUGACGUGUGAAUUGUCCAAUAAGGAAAGUGACGGCCUAAAGAGUAACUGUAGCCGACCAUGUGGCUCAGUCAAGCCCACUUGGGUUGAGGGACCCCAGGAGUUCCCAUGCAGAAAAGACACCAUCUCCUACAAAGUGGAGCUGUUCCCUGACGGCAACAUCCUGGUCCUCUACACAGAUCUACCCCGCUCUGUUAACAAGACUUAUGUGAUCAUUGGCAGCUCGGUGUCCAGCAUCAUCUUCAUCGGCAUCGCAGUGAUCCUUAUCAGCUGGCUGAUGCUGGAGUUCCACUACCGGAGAGAGUACGCCAGAUUCUUCAAAGCAACAGAGACUGUAGUCUGGAAAAAUAUCGAAAAUCCUUUGUUCCAGGACGCCACAACCAUAGUUAUGAACCCCAUAAACAUUCAAGAGGACUGAUCCAAACAAGAGGUCGACCGAUUAAUCGCGGCCGAUUUCAAGUUUUCGUAACAAUCGGAAAUCGGAAAAACGAGGCAGAACGACAGAUUUUUAACCUUGUCAGCUCGGGGGAUCCAAUCUUGCAUUGAUUACAUUGCACUCCACGAGGAGCCUGCCUGUUAACGAAUGCAGUAAGCUAAGGUAAGUUGCUAGCUAGCAUUAAACUUAUCUUAUAAAAACAAUAAAUCAAUGACUGUCAUUGCUCCAAUGUGUACUUAACCAUAAACAUCAAUGCCUUUCUUAAAAUCAAUACACAAGUAUAUAUUUUUAAACCUGCAUAUUUAACUAAAAGAAAUCCAGGUUAGCAGGUAAUAUUAACCAGGUUAAAUUGUGUCAUUUCUCUUGCGUUCAUUGCACGCAGAGUCAGAGUAUAUGCAACAGUUUGGGCCGCCUGGCUCUUUGCGAACUAAUUUGCCAGAACUUUACGUAAUUAUGACAACAUUGAAGGUUGUGCAAUGUAACAGGAAUAUUUAGACUCAUGGAUGCCACCCGUUAGAUAAAAUACGGAACGGAAUAAACGUUUUGUUUUCGAGGUGAUAGUUUCCGGAUUAGUCAAAGGUAUAUGGUUUAGAGAGAAGUAGUCGACGUGUUAUAGGUGAAUGCACCAAUUUGUAAGUCGCUCUGGAUAAGAGCGUCUGCUAAAUGACUUAAAUGUAAAUGUAAUAAUUCCUGUAAUAACUUGCGGCUGAAUUUGAAAGGGGUUCCUUCGUUAUUUUACCGUUCAUGUCUUCCAUAGAGAAUGUCUUGAUCUACUUCAAAUAAGGUCUGUGUUUCGCGCAGGCUUAAACCGCCUCGACGUUUUGACACCCGUGUAAAUCUCACUAGGAUAAGGUAACGUUUGUCAACAUAUUUUCAUAAAUCCACUCUACAAUUUUUUUUUAAUCUUCGCUUAUAUUUAGCCAAUAUUGAUCAGAGUUACCUUGUCCUAUGGAUAUCUACACAGUUAUAAAAUUGGCACGGUGAUGUAAGCCUACACGAAACACAGACCUUAUUUUAAGUUAAUCUAAAAAUAUCCUUUGGAAUAAAUGAAGGAACCGCUUUCAGAUUUUGCUAGGUGUCAUGGGAAUUAUGACUCGCACUUUGGUUGUCAAUUCUUACCAUGCCCAUUAUUAAAAUAGGAUUUCCUGCAUAUAGAAAUUUAAGUUUUUGUUUUCGACAUUCAACACAGGUAACUUAAACUCUAUUUUUAUUCAAACAGUUGAGAGUAUUCGUCUCCUAAGCAGACUCUUCAGUAUCAUUGUCACUUCAGAGCUGUGUGCGUGUGUGUAUUUAUGUAUUAUAUUAAAUUAAAAUAAGUGUUCAUUGUUCAUUCA